rnacentral:lncRNA from 1 species
AUCUAAUAGAAUUUUUUUAAAUCUUUAACCCAAUUGAAAUUUCAUAAGCUCAAUUGAUAAAUCUAGGUUAAAUUCUUUUGUUGUGUGAUUUUAUAGAUUUAAUUCUAUUUGAUAGUGAGAUAUACUAUAAUCUCUAUCAUAGUAUUAUAAAAGUUUUUUGAAUAGGUCGGAAUAAUUUUGCUCUUACUCAUAAAGAUCAUUGAUCCAGAAUAAUUCUAGUGAGCUCUCACAAUCCAUCAGUGAUACCUAGCAGUAUAUAGUGACAACCCAGCAGAACUGAAUAAAGAACCUCUAGAUGUAUUUCUCCUAUGAUUCAAUCCCUCUAUCGUUAGUUUCAACUUGAUGGCAGGUCAUAGAUAAAUCGUCAAACCUCAAUAUUAGUUAUAUGAUAGAUUCAAUCAGCUCAAGUCCAAAAAUAAUUUGUAUGAAAAUUUCUUUUCAUCAAUCAUACUGUUGUGGAUAUAGACUUAACGACUUUGCUUCUUCAAUCUCAUAGGACCACUCCUUUCUCUCAAGAUCAAUAGAUUCCUUCUAGAUGGACACCCUGCUUAAAUAAUGGACCAACUGUCACCAACAUACACCACAAAGACUCAGGUGGCUAAGAGAUAAUAUUUUUAUGCAGUCAAAUUUUAGUAGCCUCACUGUGAGCAAUCGUGGCACCACAGGUUAAAAAACUAUUUACACAACUACAACAUCGAGAUGAUCACUAACGAUUGAGCAAAAAUUCAUGUGAUUUCUCAUUUGAUCACACUCAGUACUAGUUAUUUUCUAAUAAUUAUCUGUACUUACCGUUCAGUAUCUUUAUAUUGU